rnacentral:rRNA from 1 species
GGAGUUAGCCGGUGCUUCUUCUGUGAGUGAUGUCCUUCCUGCCGGCUAUUAACCCGCAGGUCCUUCUUCCUCACUGAAAGUGCUUUACAACCCGAAGGCCUUCUUCACACACGCGGCAUGGCUGGAUCAGGGUUGCCCCCAUUGUCCAAUAUUCCCCACUGCUGCCUCCCGUAGGAGUCUGGGCCGUGUCUCAGUCCCAGUGUGGCUGAUCAUCCUCUCAGACCAGCUACGGAUCGUCGCCUUGGUGAGCCGUUACCUCACCAACCAGCUAAUCCGACAUAGGCUCAUCCGAUAGCGCGAGGCCCGAAGGUCCCCCGCUUUCCCCCGUAGGGCGUAUGCGGUAUUAGCCUGGGUUUCCCCAGGUUAUCCCCCACUACCGGGCAGAUUCCUAUGCAUUACUCACCCGUCCGCCGCUCGCCACCAGGGAGCAAGCUCCCCGUGCUGCCGCUCGACUUGCAUGUGUUAGGCCUGCCGCCAGCGUUCAAUCUGAGCCAGAAUCAAACUCUGA